UUUUAAAUAAGGACACCAUGGAUUGGUAUAGUGGAAGCAGAUCGCUCGUGGUCUUCCUGACUGUGGGUUGUGGAGCUCUCAUGAGGCACACAAGCUGGCUAUCCUCGUACUUGGACUUUGCCACUUGAUAACCUCAGUCCGUGAGAGUCCAUCAUGACAAUAUCGGCUUGGGUUCCCAG